ACUCAAAUGAAUUGACGGGGACUCGCACAAGCGGUGGAUCAUGUGGCUUAAUUCGUAGCUAAGCGAAGAACCUUACCAAGACUAGAAGCCCAGCUGCACGCCCUAGGAAACUAGGGAAGCCUUCGAGGGUGCUGGGCAGGUGAUGCAUGGUUGUCGUCAGUUCGUGGUUUGAACUGUUCCCUUCAGUGGGGUAACGAACGCAACCCCUGUUGUCUGUUAUAUAUGUCAGGCGAGACUGCUCCCUCACGGGAGAGGAAGGUAGGGAUGACGCCAAAUCAGCAUGUCCCUUGAUGUCUUGGGCUGCACACGUGAUACAAUGGCCGGUACAGAAGGACGCAAUACCGUAAGGUGGAGCAAAUCCCAAAAACCGGCCCCAGUACGGAUUGAGGUCUGCAACCGACCUCAUGAAGCCGGAAUCGCUAGUAAUCGUGGGUCAGCCAUACCACGGUGAAUACGUUCUCGAGUCUUGUACACACCGCCCGU
rnacentral:rRNA from 1 species